rnacentral:rRNA from 1 species
UCGGGAAUUUUGGGCAAUGGGCGAAAGCCUGACCCAGCAACGCCGCGUGAGGGAUGAAGUAUUUCGGUAUGUAAACCUCGAAAGAAUGGGAAGAAUAAAUGACGGUACCAUUUAUAAGCUCCGGCUAACUACGUGCCAGCAGCCGCGGUAAUACGUAGGGAGCAAGCGUUGUUCGGAUUUACUGGGCGUAAAGGGCGCGUAGGCGGCGCGGUAAGUCACUUGUGAAAUCUCUGAGCUUAACUCAGAACGGCCAAGUGAUACUGCUGUGCUAGGGUGCGGAAGAGGCAACCGGAAUUCUUGGUGUAGCGGUGAAAUGCGUAGAUAUCAAGAGGAACACCUGAGGCGAAGGCGGGUUGCUGGGCCGACACUGACGCUGAUGCGCGAAAGCCAGGGGAGC